ACAGGUGCUGCAUGGCUGUCGUCAGCUCGUGUCGUGAGAUGUUGGGUUAAGUCCCGCAACGAGCGCAACCCUUGCCUUUAGUUGCCAGCAGUUCGGCUGGGCACUCUAAAGGGACUGCCGGUGUUAAACCGGAGGAAGGUGGGGAUGACGUCAAGUCCUCAUGGCCUUUAUGACCAGAGCUACACACGUACUACAAUGGCCGAUACAAAGGGCAGCGACACUGCGAGGUGAAGCCAAUCCCGUAAAAUCGGUCUCAGUCCGGAUUGAAGUCUGCAACUCGACUCCAUGAAGUUGGAAUCGCUAGUAAUCGUGGAUCAGCAUGCCACGGUGAAUACGUUCCCGGGCCUU
rnacentral:rRNA from 1 species